AGGAAUGGUUAUGAACUUUGAUCAGGACUGUUUCUUCUAUUUGAAGAGGAUUUUGGCCCUAUAAAGAGGGCUGACGACUGUGGAGAUGUGCGCAUCUUAGUGCAUCUCAGUGAGGAUCUGAGAGAGAUCGUGAGCGGCUUAGAGCCUCCAGGGUAUCAACAACAAUGGUAGAGAAUGGUUGAGGAGUGGCUUGAUAUGAGUAGCAGGCAAACCAGCUGAGAGUAUCUCAAAACAGUUGUGGGAG
rnacentral:lncRNA from 1 species